rnacentral:rRNA from 1 species
GAGUUUGAUCUUGCUCAGAACGAACGCUGGCGGCAGGCCUAACACAUGCAAGUCGAACGCCGUAGCAAUACGGAGUGGCAGACGGGUGAGUAACGCGUGGGAACCUACCUUACGGUCGGGAAUAGCUCAGGGAAACUUGAGGUAAUACCGGAUACGCCCUUACGGGGAAAGAUUUAUCGCCGUUAGAUGGGCCCGCGUAGGAUUAGCUAGUUGGUGGGGUAAUGGCCUACCAAGGCGACGAUCCUUAGCUGGUCUGAGAGGAUGAUCAGCCACACUGGGACUGAGACACGGCCCAGACUCCUACGGGAGGCAGCAGUGGGGAAUAUU